rnacentral:rRNA from 1 species
AUGCAUUUCCAAGAGCACACGACAGCUUCUUGCGCAGGCUUUCUGUUGAAGAAAUCACAAGAAUUAAGUAUUUGUUAUUCUUGUGACCAUCUGGUCAACCUGUAUCUCAUUAGAGGAGGGUUGCUGGGAAGGGCAGGCAAUAUCUUGUCAACAAUGGAGAAGACUGGCUGUGCUCCCAACUCUCAGUUGCAAAAUCGUGUGGUCCUUGAGCGCACAGGUUUUAUACUUUGGCAAAGAGUUAACGCCGACAUCCCCAAGGGCAGCAAGGUCAAGUACGAGGUGAACAAGAAGAUGGGGCUCAUCAAGGUCGAUUGUGUCCUUUACUCCUCUGUUUCUUACCGCACAACUACGGCUUCAUCCCUGAAGCCUUGCGACGACUCCGACCCAAUCGACUUCCUUGUCAUCAUGCAUUAG